AGAAUCAACGCUGGCGGCGUGCCUAACACAUGCAAGUCGAACGAGAAAGUGGAGCAAUCCAUUAGUAAAGUGGCGCACGGGUGAGUAACACGUGACUAACCUACCCUUGAGUGGGGGAUAACCUAGAGAAAUCUGGGCUAAUACCGCAUAAUACCUUCGGGUCAAAGGAGCAAUUCACUUAAGGAGGGGGUCGCGGCCGAUUAGUUAGUUGGCGGGGUAAUGGCCCACCAAGACUAUGAUCGGUA
rnacentral:rRNA from 1 species